UACGGAGGGUGCAAGCGUUAUCCGGAUUCACUGGGUUUAAAGGGUGCGUAGGCGGGUAGGUAAGUCAGUGGUGAAAUCUUCGAGCUUAACUCGGAAACUGCCUUUGAUACUAUCUAUCUUGAAUAUUGUGGAGGUAAGCGGAAUAUGCCAUGUAGCGGUGAAAUGCUUAGAUAUGACAUAGAACACCUAUUGCGAAGGCAGCUUACUACGCAUAUAUUGACGCUGAGGCACGAAAGCGUGGGGAUCAAACAGG
rnacentral:rRNA from 1 species